GUAGGUGAAACUGCGGAAGGAUCAUUAACAUAAUCCACAAAACCUAAACCAUACCUUCAGUGAAGAGUGUUUGGCUGGCAUGCUGGCUGAGCCUCUUUACAAACAAACCUUAACCAAAAGAAUCUAACUAAGCAAAAUCACUACUAAAUUUUCUACAGUGGAUCUCUUGGUUCUCGGAACGAUGAAGAACGCAGCGAAGUGCGAUAAGCAGUGCGAAUUGCAGAACCGUGAGUCAUCAGAGUUUUGAACGUAACUGGCGCCUGCGGUUUACCGUAGGCAUGCUUGUUUCAGUGUCUAUUUACUAAUGACCUAUACUUUAAUGCUGGAGAUACCCUUCUCCGGUGAAGUGCGCAAGCACUCUGUCUGCCUCAAUGCAGCCGUCACUCACGAGUGAACUCAUUGGCACAGUCAGAAGAGCUCUGCUCAGUGCUUGGACUGAAUAACUUUUCUUGUAUCUGAAAUCAAGUAGGACAACCCGCUGAACUUAA
rnacentral:rRNA from 1 species